UACGUAGGGACCAAGCGUUGUUCGGAUUUACUGGGCGUAAAGGGCGCGUAGGCGGCUUAACAAGUCACUUGUGAAAUCUCCGGGCUUAACUCGGAACGGCCAAGUGAAACUGUCAAGCUAGAGUGCAGAAGGGGCAAUCGGAAUUCUUGGUGUAGCGGUGAAAUGCGUAGAUAUCGAGAGGAACACCAGUGGCGAAGGCGAGUCCCUGGACAACCCCUGACACUGAGGCACGAAAGCUAGGGGAGCAAACAGG
rnacentral:rRNA from 1 species